rnacentral:rRNA from 1 species
AUGGCGGAGAGGCUGGCACCCGAGAAGCGCCAUGCCUUCGUCCACAAUGGGCAGAAGGUUUUCGAAUGGGACCAGUCGCUGGAGGAGGUGAACAUGUACAUCGAGCUCCCCAAGAACGUGCCCACCAAGCUGAUUCAGUGUGUGAUCCAGGCCGGCCACGUUGAGGUCGGCAUUCGCGGCCACCCGCCCUACCUCAACCAUGACCUUAUGCACCCCGUGAAGACCGAUUCGUCUUUCUGGACGAUAGAGGACGGUGAAUUGCAUAUCACUCUGCAAAAAAGGGAAAAGGGGAAAACAUGGGCAUCUCCAAUAAAAGGCCAAGGUAGCUUAGAUCCAUAUGCUGCAGACCAGGAACAGAAACGGCUUAUGCUGCAAAGGUUUCAAGAAGAGAAUCCAGGGUUUGAUUUUUCGCAGGCUCAGUUCAGUGGUACCUGCCCUGACCCAAGGACCUUCAUGGGUGGAAUUCACACUGAUUGA